AUGUUCGCUGGCUCCACCAUCGCGCCCAACUGGAAACUGAUCUGGCGCACGUGGGCCCUGCUGCGGAUCCGUGUCUUUGCGUGGCUCGCAAGCCAAGAUCAUUGCUGGUCCGCCGCCCGCCUCGCGCGCCAUGGCCUACCGCAUGACGACCGCUGCAUCUUCUGUGCCCAAGUGCUGGAAACCCUCGAUCACCUUCUCGUACAAUGCCCAUUCUCCCGGACCAUCUGGCACGAGAUCCUCGCCUGGUGCCGGCUGCCAAUUCCCCCUCCGGGCAUCGACGAUUGCUUCCUUGAGUGGUGGGCUUACUCUACCAGGAGGGUUCCUGCGGCCUUGCGGAAAGGUCUUGCCUCCCUCGCCUUUCUCCCUGCGUGGUCCAUCUGGCGCCACCGUAAUGCAUGCAUCUUCGACCACAUGCACCCCUCCACUACGCUACUUCUUCAGGUCAUCAAGGACGACGCUCGGGCAUGGGCUUCUGCCGGGGCCAAGGACAUUGCAAACUUUAUGCCUCCCUGA
rnacentral:rRNA from 1 species